UGGCGGACGGGUGAGUAAUGUCUGGGAAACUGCCUGAUGGAGGGGGAUAACUACUGGAAACGGUAGCUAAUACCGCAUAACGUCGCAAGACCAAAGAGGGGGACCUUCGGGCCUCUUGCCAUCGGAUGUGCCCAGAUGGGAUUAGCUAGUAGGUGGGGUAACGGCUCACCUAGGCGACGAUCCCUAGCUGGUCUGAGAGGAUGACCAGCCGCACUGGAACUGAGACACGGUCCAG
rnacentral:rRNA from 1 species